AUUGAACGCUGGCGGCAGGCUUAACACAUGCAAGUCGAGCGGGGGAAGGUAGCUUGCUACCGGACCUAGCGGCGGACGGGUGAGUAAUGCUUAGGAAUCUGCCUAUUAGUGGGGGACAACAUCUCGAAAGGGAUGCUAAUACCGCAUACGUCCUACGGGAGAAAGCAGGGGAUCUUCGGACCUUGCGCUAAUAGAUGAGCCUAGGUCGGAUUAGCUAGUUGGUGGGGUAAAGGCCUACCAAGGCGACGAUCUGUAGCGGGACUGAGAGGAUGAUCGGCCACACUGGGACUGAGACACGGCCCAGACUCCUACGGGAGGCAGUAGUGGGGAAUAUUGGACAAUGGGGGGAACCCUGAGCCAGCCAUGCCGCGUGUGUGAAGAAGGCCUUAUGGUUGUAAAGCACUUUAAGCGAGGAGGAGGCUACUCUAGUUAAUACCUAGGGAUAGUGGACGUUACUCGCAGAAUAAGCACCGGCUAACUCUGUGCCAGCCGCCGCAGUAA
rnacentral:rRNA from 1 species